ACGAACCGUCCAAACGUUAUUCGGAAUUACUGGGCUUAAAGGGUGCGUAGGCGGCCCGGGAAGUUGGGUGUGAAAUCCCUCGGCUUAACCGAGGAAUUGCGCCCAAAACUGCCGGGCUUGAGGGAGAUAGAGGUGAGCGGAACUUAGGGUGGAGCGGUGAAAUGCGUUGAUAUCCUAAGGAACACCGGUGGCGAAAGCGGCUCACUGGGUCUCUUCUGACGCUGAGGCACGAAAGCUAGGGUAGCGAACGG
rnacentral:rRNA from 1 species